rnacentral:lncRNA from 1 species
GAUGUGGCGGCGCGGCGGCGGCGCGGCGGGGCGGAACCGCGGGGGGCGGCGGGGGGGGCGGGGAGCCGAAGUGCCGCAGAUCGUCCUCGUCCAGAGCGAUGUCACCCAGGAAGGCGGCCGCCUUGCACGGAUCCCGGGAGCCCCGCAGCUCUUCCUCCUCCUCCUCCUCGUCCCGCAGCACGGCCGAAUACCCCGCACAGCGGCCGCCCGCAGCAGCAGCAGCGCGAGGAGCAGCGCGCAGCCCCGCACUGCGGCCAUCGUUGGGCUUUGGGCCCUUUUUCCCCCUCUUUUUUUUUUGGGGGGGGGGGGGGGGGGGGGAGGAGGGCGGGGGGGCGCUGUGGGUCCGUUCCGUCCGCGCUUUUUGCCCUUUUUUCCGCUUUUUUUCCCUCCCCUCCCCGCCUCUUUCCUUUCUGCCUCCCUUCUCCGUCUCCCCCCCCACCCUUUGCAGCCUUUUCCUUGCCUUUUUUUUUGCCCCCCCCCCCCCCUUUUUUUGUCGCUGCCCC